ncrna:Mus musculus (house mouse) microRNA mmu-mir-344c precursor
UUUUCAGUCAGGCUGCUGGCUAGAGUACAGCUAUCAGCUGGUACCUGAUCUAGUCAAAGCCUGACAGUAAA